UGUCACCCGGACUUCGCUUGCACCCUAUGGCUGUGAUCCAUUGCAGUCCUUUCCUACUGAUGCUCAGAGGAUGGACAUCAUAGUUCUCCCUCUCUGGACACCUGGUCAUUACCAGUUGUGUGUAAGUCUUGUUUUUUGACACAUACAAACUGUUUGAAUUUUGCUAUGUGUUUGAGAUGUAUUCAAGCAUUUAUGACGCAGUUUAAAAAGUCUUUGAUUAUGAUCGCUUGCAAUGACAUUGUUUUCAGGUUUGAAGUCAUGGCUAACUGUCUUUUAGGUACUGAAGCCACCUAAAAGAGAAAUCCUCUUUCUUGACCCCUUAUACACAAAGGCAGGAUUUGGUGGCCAACAAUAUGUUUCACUUUUGAGGUCACAUUUUUAUAAGCAUUUUUGGUUUGUUCCAGAGUUUUCAGGAACCUGUUCAGUGUUCCAGGUUAAGUGCAUCCCGGAUCAUGUUCUGCUGAUCUUUAGUGUUCACACAUACAGUACACUCACAUGCUUUUUUUAUAAACUAUAUCAGCAUGAUGCUUCAACAUUUUAUUCUAUUUCUCAUCUUCACAUUCUGAUCAAGUCAGUGAUGCUGUCUUUAGAUGAGUUUCAUACAUAAAUAAGGUCUUCAAAUGUUCUAGUUUAACAUAAAACACCAUUAAAUAUUAGUUUGUAAAAUAUGCCAACCUGAAAUUAAAGCUGAAAAUGCUUAAUUUUGACCAACUGUGAGCAUGUGACUGUACUUUUUCAUUUUGUUAUGCUGUUUUGUUGAGGUUGUGUUCCUAAGGCCUGUAGUUAUAGUUGGUGCUAUUAGCAAUAAACAUUUCACACCCAUCAUGAUGAUGUCUGUUAACUUGUGAAUGUAACUGUCUUGAAAAAAGGAAUCUUGCAGUGAAGAUCAUUCCUGGGCAGUGGUCAGAAAAAAAGAGCUUUGACUUGAAGGGUUUUCCAAGCCAAGACUAUGGAGUUGACUGUGGGAUCUUCAUGCUGAUGUCUGCUCUGUACGUGGCACUGGAUGCACCAUUUGACUACACUAUAGUAAGUAUUCUAUUUAGUUUCACAGCAAUGGAGUCUUGAAUCUUUUUGAAAGUUGUUAAAUAUGUUUCAUAUUAAUAUUUUACAGUCAGACAUGCCCUACUUGCGUAAAUGGUGGUGCUUGCUGUUGAUGGAGAACUUUGAUCUCAGGAGCUCUGGCAAGCUAUUUGCACACUGGAGAGAGGAAGCCAAAGCUGUGCUUGAAGGACAACACGUGCCCAUUUUCAGACUGAAAAAGCGCAAGUUCCAGGAAGUCAGUCAGGAGCCAGCAGUUGUUAAAGAUCUGCGUCCUGCUGUGCAGUGGGUUGUCCAAAAUAAGGCACUUUUCCGUGGACACGUAACAAUGCCAAAAUACCUGUCCUUAAAUCAAGGCGACCAGCAGAGGGUCUUAAGAGACAUGUCCGAGGAAGAAGACACUGGAGCAAGGGACUUGUUCCUCUUUGUUUUUCAGUUUGCAGAGGACAUGGAGCUCUUUUUGAAAGCAUGUGCUGAUGAGCAGGGACUAAGGGUCAGUGCUAUGUUUGACAUGUAGUGGACAAAUGAAGGAACUGGCUGUGUUUGUUUGUUUGUUUAAUAUGUUGUUGUUGUUUUUUGUUUUGUUUUUGAAUAGUACAAAAUUCCAAUUAAACUUAUUUCAAAAUGUUGUUCACUUGA